ACUGCAGCUGACCCUGGAGUGGACGGUCUGUUCCAGGCUUCGAGGAUUGUCACAAUCGGUGAUGGGUGACGUGCUGACUUCUGGGACACCCACUAGAUUGAUGGGCGCCUGCCUUAAGACCUCUGGCUUGUGCUCUGGAGCCAUUCCACUGGUCGAAAUCUUCCAGUGUGUGAGGCUAGCACCGGCAACUUAUAACUUCGGUAUGUCAAAGGCUAAUGCACCUAUGCCGGUUCUCUGCAACCUCAGCUAGCUUUGGCAGCACACUCAGCGCCUCAUGCUGGUCGAUGACGAGGGCGACCGCGAUUUCCUCACUUGCCUGGUGGUGCAUCCAGCAUAACCCUUGCUGCCUAUUGUGCUCCAAUGCUCCUGAAUGGGCCGCCCAUAUCUAACCUCGUGUUGCUUUGCAGUUCAGUUGUGGACCAUGGUGGCGAAUGCCCUGGGAGCUCCUUGCAUUACUCUCCUAAUCACAUUGCAUGGCUCCUUGCACGGCAGCCAAAAUACUCACUGUUUGGAUGAUAUGUAAGGAGAAUGGCUGCUUCUUUGGACCAUGCUGCACCUCUGUUCGGCACGUUUUCGAGCGUAUGGUGGACUAGGCAAAAAAAAUGGUGACAUGCGGGCCUUUGCCAUCUCCAAUAUAAUGUGAUUAGAGAGCCAGAUUAGAUGCUAUUAUAUUCAGCAUGAUGGAUGUUAAAUUCUUGAAUUUUGGAUGCUUGCAAUAUGCCGUGAUUCAAGUUCGUGAAUCUAAACAAGCAAAAGAAUGGUGCUGGCAAGCCACCGCCGGCCAGUCUCAUCGCCCACAGUCGCUACGUAUGAUGUGUAGGAGAUCUGCCUAGUGAUGAGGCGUUCGCGCUUGGAGGGCCUCACUCUGUCAGGGGCUACGGCAUAGGCGAACUAGGCGCUUCUAAGAACAUUCUCAAGGUUGUAGGGGAGAUCAAAGAUGCCAUGGCCUCGAUCUCAGAUUCUUUUCGGUAUACAUGGUCUCAUUGAAUACAAGUGAAUUGAUCAUAGAGGGCUUCAUAUAACGAGGUUAAAGAGCUGAAGUUUGAACAGAAAACAGACGAGGAGUAGAAGCUAUUUUUAGAAAUGGAUCCAACCUUCUAAGAAGCUGACAAGUUAUCCAGCCACAGGUCUUGUCGAUGGCUCCUUAGGGAGAAUAGAUGAAAAAUUAUGGUUUCCCCUCUUUUAUGUGUACUACAAUUUUAUGUAACAGUUCAGUAAUAAAUGGAAAAAAUAUGGUUUGGCCUCUUUUAU